AGUACAGUCUAUAGGGUCACACCCAAUCAGUGGUACAAUGUGCGGAGUACAGUCUAUAGGGUCACACCCAAUCAGUGGUACAAUGUGCGGAGUACAGUCUAUAGGGUCACACCCAAUCAGUGGUACAAUGUGCGGGGUACAGUCUAUAGGGUCGCACCCAAUCAGUGGUACAAUGUGCGGAGUACAGUCUAUAGGGUCACACCCAAUCAGUGGUACAAUGUGCGGGGUACAGGGUCACACCCAAUCAGUGGUACAAUGUGCGGGGUACAGGGUCACACCCAAUCAGUGGUACAAUGUGCGGGGUACAGGGUCACACCCAAUCAGUGGUACAAUGUGCGGGGUACAGGGUCACACCCAAUCAGUGGUACAAUGUGCGGGGUACAGUCUAUAGGGUCACACCCAAUCAGUGGUACAAUGUGCGGGUACAGUCUAUAGGGUCGCACCCAAUCAGUGGUACAAUGUGCGGGGUACAGUCUAUAGGGUCACACCCAAUCAGUGGUACAAUGUGCGGGUACAGUCUAUAGGGUCACACCCAAUCAGUGGUACAAUGUGCGGGUACAGUCUAUAGGGUCACACCCAAUCAGUGGUACAAUGUGCGGGGUACAGUCUAUAGGGUCGCACCCAAUCAGUGGUACAAUGUGCGGAGUACAGUCUAUAGGGUCACACCCAAUCAGUGGUACAAUGUGCGGGGUACAGGGUCACACCCAAUCAGUGGUACAAUGUGCGGGGUACAGGGUCACACCCAAUCAGUGGUACAAUGUGCGGGGUACAGGGUCACACCCAAUCAGUGGUACAAUGUGCGGGGUACAGGGUCACACCCAAUCAGUGGUACAAUGUGCGGGGUACAGUCUAUAGGGUCACACCCAAUCAGUGGUACAAUGUGCGGGUACAGUCUAUAGGGUCGCACCCAAUCAGUGGUACAAUGUGCGGGGUACAGUCUAUAGGGUCACACCCAAUCAGUGGUACAAUGUGUGGGGUACCGUCUAUAGGGUCACACCCAAUCAGUGGUACAGUCUAUAGGGUCACACCCAAUCAGUGGUACAAUGUGCGGAGUACAGUCUAUAGGGUCGCACCCAAUCAGUGGUACAAUGUGCGGGUACAGUCUAUAGGGUCACACCCAAUCAGUGGUACAAUGUGCGGGGUACAGGGUCACACCCAAUCAGUGGUACAAUGUGCGGGGUACAGUCUAUAGGGUCACACCCAAUCAGUGGUACAAUGUGUGGGGUACCGUCUAUAGGGUCACACCCAAUCAGUGGUACAGUCUAUAGGGUCACACCCAAUCAGUGGUACAAUGUGCGGAGUACAGUCUAUAGGGUCGCACCCAAUCAGUGGUACAAUGUGCGGGGUACAGUCUAUAGGGUCACACCCAAUCAGUGGUACAAUGUGCAGGGUACAGUCUAUAGGGUCACACCCAAUCAGUGGUACAAUGUGCGGGGUACAGGGUCACACCCAAUCAGUGGUACAAUGUGCGGGGUACAGUCUAUAGGGUCACACCCAAUCAGUGGUACAAUGUGUGGGGUACAGUCUAUAGGGUCACACCCAAUCAGUGGUACAAUGUGCGGGGUACAGGGUCACACCCAAUCAGUGGUACAAUGUGCGGGGUACAGGGUCACACCCAAUCAGUGGUACAAUGUGCGGGGUACAGUCUAUAGGGUCACACCCAAUCAGUGGUACAAUGUGCGGGGUACAGUCUAUAGGGUCACACCCAAUCAGUGGUACAAUGUGCGGGGUACAGUCUAUAGGGUCACACCCAAUCAGUGGUACAAUGUGCGGAGUACAGUC